rnacentral:rRNA from 1 species
AUUGAACGCUGGCGGAAUGCUUUACACAUGCAAGUCGAACGGUAACAGGCCGCAAGGUGCUGACGAGUGGCGAACGGGUGAGUAAUGCAUCGGAACGUGCCCAGUCGUGGGGGAUAACGCAGCGAAAGCUGUGCUAAUACCGCAUACGAUCUAUGGAUGAAAGCGGGGGACCGUAAGGCCUCGCGCGAUUGGAGCGGCCGAUGUCAGAUUAGGUAGUUGGUGGGGUAAAGGCCCACCAAGCCAACGAUCUGUAGCUGGUCUGAGAGGACGACCAGCCACACUGGGACUGAGACACGGCCCAGACUCCUACGGGAGGCAGCAGUGGGGAAUUUUGGACAAUGGGCGGAAGCCUGAUCCAGCCAUGCCGCGUGAGUGAAGAAGGCC